AUUUACAUUUGAGUGAGUGGCGAACUGGUGAGUAACACGUGGGAAACCUGCCCAGAAGCGGGGGAUAACACCUGGAAACAGAUGCUAAUACCGCAUAACAACUUGGACCGCAUGGUCCGAGUUUGAAAGAUGGCUUCGGCUAUCACUUUUGGAUGGUCCCGCGGCGUAUUAGCUAGAUGGUGGGGUAACGGCUCACCAUGGCAAUGAUACGUAGCCGACCUGAGAGGGUAAUCGGCCACAUUGGGACUGAGACACGGCCCAAACUCCUACGGGAGGCAGCAGUAGGGAAUCUUCCACAAUGGACGAAAGUCUGAUGGAGCAACGCCGCGUGAGUGAAGAAGGGUUUCGGCUCGUAAAACUCUGUUGUUAAAGAAGAACAUAUCUGAGAGUAACUGUUCAGGUAUUGACGGUAUUUAACCAGAAAGCCACGGCUAACUACGUGCCAGCAGCCGCGGUAAUACGUAGGUGGCAAGCGUUGUCCGGAUUUAUUGGGCGUAAAGCGAGCGCAGGCGGUUUUUUAAGUCUGAUGUGAAAGCCUUCGGCUCAACCGAAGAAGUGCAUCGGAAACUGGGAAACUUGAGUGCAGAAGAGGACAGUGGAACUCCAUGUGUAGCGGUGAAAUGCGUAGAUAUAUGGAAGAACACCAGUGGCGAAGGCGGCUGUCUGGGCUGUAACUGACGCUGAGGCUCGAAAGUAUGGGUAGCAAACAGGAUUAGAUACCCUGGUAGUCCAUACCGUAAACGAUGACUG
rnacentral:rRNA from 2 species